rnacentral:tRNA from 1 species
UUAAUAGAAUCUAGUUUUAGUAUUUCAUUGUUGAUGAAAAGUUUGGGAUUUAUUCUCCUAUUAAG